rnacentral:rRNA from 1 species
UGAGCGGAGAUAUAUGGAGCUUGCUUUAUAUAACUUAGCAGCGAACGGGUGAGUAACACGUAGAUAAUCUAUCCUAUACUGGGGGAUAGCCCGAUGAAAGUUGGAUAAAUACCGCAUAUAGCUAUAUAGUUGCAUGAUUAUGUAGUGAAAGAUUUAUUGGUAUAGGAGGAGUCUGCGGCACAUUAGCUAGUAGGUGAGGUAAAGGCUUACCUAGGCGACGAUGUGUAGCCGGUCUGAGAGGAUGAACGGCCACAAUGGAACUGAGACACGGUCCAUACUCCUACGGGAGGCAGCAGUGGGGAAUAUUGCACAAUGGGGGAAACCCUGAUGCAGCAACGCCGCGUGAGUGAAGAAGGUUUUCGGAUUGUAAAGCCCUGUUAGCAGGGAAGAGGAAGGACGGUACCUGCAGAGGAAGCCACGGCUAACUACGUGCCAGCAGCCGCGGUAAUACGUAGGUGGCAAGCGUUGUUCGGAAUAACUGGGCGUAAAGGAUGCGUAGGCGGUUAAACAAGUUAUAUGUUAAAUAUAUAGGCUUAACCUGUAGAAAGCAUAUAAAACUGUUUAACUAGAGUGCAGGAGAGGUAAGUGGAAUUCCUAGUGUAGCGGUGAAAUGCGUAGAGAUUAGGAAGAACACCAGUGGCGAAGGCGACUUACUGGACUGUAACUGACGCUGAGGCAUGAGAGCAUGGGGAGCAAACAGGAUUAGAUACCCUGGUAGUCCAUGCUGUAAACGAUGGGUACUAGGUGUGGGUUGUGAAUAACAAUUCGUGCCGUCGCAAACGCAAUAAGUACCCCGC